rnacentral:lncRNA from 1 species
UCAUGUAAGGCGCACCACUCGUCUUCAAAUAUUUCUCACGAGUACUCUCCCACAAUGAUGUACCACCAACAUGAGCUAUAACUAAAGCAUCAGCCAUCUUAUUUGCAGAUAUACACUGAUCCACCGCUUCAUUGUAAUUUCCAACAACUAAAGCACGCUGGAUGGCAUCAUCAAAUACUUUGUCAGAACCUUCUUCCUCUUCUUCUGGUAUUUCUUGAGUUUCUUCCACUUUGGCAGAAGAAUCUGUGUCAGGAGGCAUAAAAUCUUUGGAGGAUGUAGAUACGGGUGUAUCUGGUUUAGAAGGAAGGUUGUCGAAAAAGUCUUCUCCAUUGUCCAUAGCAAAUGCAGCUGCCUCGUUAAUUUUCACAGGCUCAGGUGCAGUAUCCUCUAAUCCAAUGCCAUUCAGAUCUGACGAGAGCCCAUCUACUGCAUGAUCCUUUUCCACAGAAGGUAAACUAAAGCCAAGAUGGCUGAUCAACUUUGUCCUUGUCGUUCCUUCCUCUUCGAACAUGAUUUUCAGCAAGCUCCAUGUCUCCUUCUCCUCUUCGGAUCUGCGAAAUCAGUUAAUUGAAAGAGAGAGAAUUUAGUUGUCUUGUGACUUUGUUAAGGGCGAAUAUGAACAUUUUCAAUCACAAGGAUGACAUACUCAGUCUCUUCAGAUUUCUUCUCACAUAAACCCCUUAGAGAAGUCUUAUCUCCAUUUUCUAUGGCGGUUUCAAAUUCAGAAGUUCGACUCACCAAACUCUGUUCAGUUACCAGGCUGUGCAAAAACACCUGAGCAUGACAUUUAGUCAAACAAAAAGUGAUGAAGAAAAGGGUAUAACAGAAGAUAGCAUCAUUCCUAAAAACCUACCUCAGACGGAAUGCUUGAGGCCCCCUUCGGAGGAGGCUUUGCGUGAAACGAUACAAGCUUUCCCCCAAAUCCAAAAGAUGCACCAACCGGGCGCUUAUACCAUUUUGGUGCUCUUAAAGGAGCUGCAUGAACUACUGCAUACGUACCAGGCUCUGCAGAAAGAGAAAUACGGUCACGUAAUAUGGAAAGUUCAGGUGACAAGCCACCAGAAUCAAGAACUUUCAAGUACUUCAUUGCCGUUGUAAGAAGCCCUUGGCUGGCCAAUAUCUCAGCAUAACUCUCAAAUAGUUUACAUAGAGAUGCGCUGAACUUUUUGUUGCCAGUUGCCAAAGCAAGGACAAGAGUCUUCUCCAUAAGAUCCUAUCAAAAGAAAAGGGCACAAGAAUAUGAGCAGAGAAGCCUAACUAAUUAUGCACAAAACAUGGUAAGUGAUACACACUUGAAGAAGCUCGGCAUAAGAUCUUCCAUCGCGAUCGUUUGCAAGGCUCCUCGACCAAAUUUCUACUGUUCUGUCAACAUUGCCUGCGCAUAUGUAGCAGAAAACUGCAGCCAAAGUGUUACCAGCAGCCAUCAACUUUGAGGCAAGGGCAUCGCAAAGGCUGGCCCAUUGUUCUCCUUGUGCAAACUGUUUGCCAAUCAAUAUAAAAGCAGCAUUCGUUACAAAGUGGUUUUAUAGUGGCCAAAACUAAGUAGCAGUUACAUGCAUCACGUAAUACUGCGAGUUGUACAUCUCGGUUCAUGAGUCAACGAAAAUGACAUAUCACUUUACAUUGUUUGAAGAGCUAAAGUGAGAAGAGAAUAUAUUUUGAUCAAGUAAGGCAUGAAAAUCAAGAGUUUGACAAACUUACAGUACAGAGAAGAGCAAGAGUUUCUUUCCAGAACUUAAGCGACCUUGUAUAAAUAAGGCUCGUGAGAUCGUUGUUCACCAUCGCAGAAACAAUCUGAAAACAGAUUAACAUACAGUAGUUAAGAGGCUUUGCAACCAUAAAAAGGGAUGUCGAUUGCACUUGUCUACAUAUCAAGUUUGAAAGGAAUAUAUGUAUAUACCUUCAUGUAAGGCGCACCACUCGUCUUCAAAUAUUUCUCACGAGUACUCUCCCACAAUGAUGUACCACCAACAUGAGCUAUAACUAAAGCAUCAGCCAUCUUAUUUGCAGAUAUACACUGAUCCACCGCUUCAUUGUAAUUUCCAACAACUAAAGCACGCUGGAUGGCAUCAUCAAAUACUUUGUCAGAACCUUCUUCCUCUUCUUCUGGUAUUUCUUGAGUUUCUUCCACUUUGGCAGAAGAAUCUGUGUCAGGAGGCAUAAAAUCUUUGGAGGAUGUAGAUACGGGUGUAUCCGGUUUAGAAGGAAAGUUGUCGAAAAAGUCUUCUCCAUUGUCCAUAGCAAAUGCAGCUGCCUCGUUAAUUUUCACAGGCUCAGGUGCAGUAUCCUCUAAUCCAAUGCCAUUCAGAUCUGACGAGAGCGCAUCUACUGCAUGAUCCUUUUCCACAGAAGGUAAACUAAAGCCAAGAUGGCUGAUCAACUUUGUCCUUGUCGUUCCUUCCUCUUCGAACAUGAUUUUCAGCAAGCUCCAUGUCUCCUUCUCCUCUUCG